UGGCCCUUCUGGCCUUGAGCACACCACAAAUGUUAAAACAGGUCAAUUUUGACCCAGCAGUUCAGUUUCUGCUGCACAGUUACAUUGAUCACAUUGAAGAAUAAAUGCCAUUACUUUUCUGUAAAUCAGACUGCAUGCGUAUCUUAUCUUUAAAUGUAUGAGCUGCAUGUCUAACCAGCAUAUCCCUAAAUCUGUAAGGCAUAAUAUUUUUUAAAAAAACCCACUGUGAGACACAGCAUAAACUACUGUAAGCUUUUUGAUUUGGAUGUUAUAAUAAGGGUCUUAUUAGUGCCUGUUUGUUCCUCCAGGUAUUGUUGUGGAUGCUUUGUCUGAAGAUGAGCUCAAUGAAAUGUGUUCUUGUUGUUUCAUGUUAGUAUGGAGUGAUGGAACACUAAACAUUCAAAUGGUGAUUUAGAGUUUUGUCUUUUGGUAUUUAUUGUCAAGUGAAAUUUAACCAAUAAUGUGUCUGUUGUUAACAACUACUGUGAUGUCACUUUUUGGAUUUGAGUGCAGUGGAUUAGAGUACUGAAAUAAACUAUAGUCAUAUUUCAGACUGAUGAUGUUAAAUAAACUGUAUUUUAAUGAGUUAUUUUUGGUCAGAUUCUUAUGAACUCUGGACAGCUUUGGGUGAAUCAGUUCUAUCAUCUGCUGACUUCAAGAAUGUGGUGUGAAUGAGACACGGCGAGUCCACAGGUCGAGGUUUUGAGCCAUUUUAUUUACCACGGCUGCAGCUCAUAAGCUUCCAGCCGCAAGUACUUCUCAUCACAACAACAGCUCUCUACUCUCUGACAUUUUUAAAAACCUGCUUUUUUACCUGCUGUCUUUACUCACUGAGUGUUUGAUGCUUUAGGUUUGUUUCUUGUUUAUUUCUUGUCUUAUUGUUUUUCUGGUUUUUCAAUAUUGUUCUUAUAAGUAAAUUGACUUGACAUGACUUUGUUAUAAAAUGUCUUAUAUUUUAAAAAUGGUGUUACAGUGAUUUAGUUUACUUUGGAGGACCCUGAAUUUUUCAGUGGUGCCAAACGUUUUAUACAUGCAGUUGUGCAACAUAUGCUGAAAAACUCCAGCCUGGAUUCUUCUGCUUUGUCAAACUUUAGCCCUGUGUCAAAGCGACCUUUCUUGUUUAGCUCCUGGAAAAAAUGCCUUCUGUGUCAGCAAUGAUGGUUUUAUCUCCACCUCUGCCAUGUUGUUAGACCCAGUUUUAGCAGCAGAAGCCCCUGCAUCAACCUUCUUUCUUUUCUUCUCUAUUGCUCACCUACAACUUGUGCAAAACUCAUUUUAUCUGUUUGAACUGCUGAAUCUGUAUGUCUACACCUGAUGCUUUUGCUUAUUCCAAAGAAAACCCAAACUCAGAGGUGCUAGAGUUUUUGCAGUUCAGUUUUUCUGAAAUGCUGUUUUACUUUUACUUCAGAUGUAAUGGGACACACACCUUCCAAAACAUCUCAUCGGUCCACAGAGUUUUUUCCCAAAUGUUUUAAGCAUCAACAUGAUGUUUUCUGGCAGAGAUGAGCCUUCAUGUUCUUUCAGCUCAGCAGUGGUUUUUAUCCUGGAACUCUGCAUUACAGGCCAUCUUUGCCAAGUCUCCUUCUUAUAGUGGAGUCAUGAACUCUGACCUUAAAAAACGCAAGUGAGGCCUGCAGUUCUUUGGAUGUUUUUCUGGGGGUUUUUGUGACCUUCUUGGAUGAGUCAUUGCUACGCUCUUGGGGUAAUAUUAAUCAGCUUCACAUUCCUGAGAAGUUUCACCACUUCUCCAUGUUUUCAACAUUUGUGGACAAUGGCUCACUGUGAUUCGCUGGAGUCCCACAGCUUUAGAAAUGUCUUUAUACCAGACUUUAUUUUCCAGAUUCAGAGAUUCAAAGCAGAAACAUUUAAACACAUUGAGGAAGUUUGUCAACAGGAAGCUGAAGGCACAGUCUGUGCAAACUGACUGCAGGCACACAAGGUUCUGCAAGAAGAUUGCUUAAUCAUUUGGUCUGCCAUUAUUUCUAUUAGUGGCUCUUGUAUCAGAACCCAACAGAACACUGGACUGUAACAAGAUGAUGAGUGUUAUUCACUUAUUAAACAUAACUAUGUAUAUCUAUAACUCUGACUUAAAUACUACAGCUGUGGAGGUUGAGACCCACUUGAACUCCGAAAACUACCAAAAGUAAUGAACUAAGCUCAGAAAAUAUUUCUAUGUGACGGAUUUAUGUCUUUUUCAAAAAAUGAAUCAAAUUUAAGGCAAGUGUUUUCUUUAACUCUUGUGUUGUUUCAUUUGAUCCUGUUUUUCUACCAGAAGAGCAGAAUAGUGGCUCCUUCCGAUUGUGGUCACUUCUUGGAGGAAUCCUCGGGAUGAUGUCACUCUCCUUGAUCAUCUUUGUUUGCAUCCUCUGACUCAGUGCAGGACAGAGGACAACAGCAGGAUUUGGUGUACGCACAGGUGAAAGUCAACAAGCCAGAAAACUGUUUAACACAGAGGAACUCUGAGGCGAAGAAACUAUGAAUGUCUAAAAGGAGAUCCCAUUACAGAAACGUGUUAACAAAGAAAAACACACGUGCUAACACAGCAGCCAGACCCAGAACUUCAGCAGAAAAUGUUAUUUGCAGCAUCAGUUCACUUCAUCCUCAACUUCAUCCAACACUUUUCUUGACAAAUGAUAUUUUCCCUCCUCUUGUUUGUGUAACCAAAACUUGAGUCACAGACUGAAUCAAACAUAGAACAAACCUGAUGACGUGAUUCGAACACAUCCAGACUUGAGUUUUUUGGUGGAUUCAGCCCACAAACAGCUGAAAACAGUGGUUGUCAUAACAAACAUCUUUUUCUUUUUUCAUAUAUUUUAUGUUAUAAACUGGGUUUAUUGAGCACCAAACUGAAUUACUAAGCAUGUUAAUACUGGGAGAAAUGAGCAUUUGCUGAAGCACACUGUUCAUCACAGUCACAGCUGGCUGUCUUUAACACUCUCAACAUUUUUCUGUCUUAAUUUGUACGCUGACUUAUCCAAACCUGUGCUAAUUAAUGAUAGUGUGCAUUAAUAUGUUGACUUGUUCAGGAGUGUGCAACACUCAUUGCCUCAUUGUUUCACAGAAUAAUAUUAUUCACUUUCUGCAAAUGUGUCCAGAAGGUGUCACUGUGGAGAUCAGUGUCAAACUAUUUCAUCCGUGUCAGUGUUUCACAAAGCCGUACUUUACCUACCACACUGAGUAGGUCAAAUUUCAGGCAAUAAGUGAAGAGAAGAGUUGGAAUGACUCUGGAGGAGGAAACAAAACAACUGGUUGUAAAGGUCAUCCUUACGGAGGGCUGACUGAACAGUGCGUGGCUUUAGCAGCCUCAGUCUCUUCUUGUGAGGAGUUUGCAUGUUCUCCCCAUGUUACCAUGUUGUUCUCUGAUUUUUCCCACUAUCCACAAAAGUCCAACUUAUUGGAAAUUCUCAAUCAUCCACUUAAUCUGUCUCUUAAUUUGAAAAUAAAGCUGAUUAUCUGGGCAUUAAA